rnacentral:piRNA from 1 species
UGCAAAAACAAAGCCACCAACGUA